rnacentral:rRNA from 1 species
ACGACUCUCGGCAACGGAUAUCUCGGCUCUCGCAUCGAUGAAGAACGUAGCGAAAUGCGAUACUUGGUGUGAAUUGCAGAAUCCCGUGAACCAUCGAGUCUUUGAACGCAAGUUGCGCCCGAGGCCUUUUAGGUUGAGGGCACAUCUGCUUGGGCGUCA